rnacentral:rRNA from 1 species
UACGGGGGGAGCAAGCGUUGUUCGGAUUUACUGGGCGUAAAGGGCGCGUAGGCGGCCACUGCAAGUCAGUUGUGAAAUCUCCGGGCUCAACCCGGAAAGGUCAACUGAUACUGCAGGGCUAGAGUGCAGAAGGGGCAACUGGAAUUCUCGGUGUAGCGGUGAAAUGCGUAGAUAUCGAGAGGAACACCUGCGGCGAAGGCGGGUUGCUGGGCUGACACUGACGCUGAUGUGCGAAAGCUAGGGGAGCGAACGGG